UUUGGGCAUGGGCGAAAGCCUGNCCCACGACGCCGUGUGGGCGAUGAAGGCCUUCGGGUUGUAAAGCCCUGUUGGGUGGAAAGAAGGACUUCUGGACGAAUAAUCCGGGAGUCUUGACGGUACCACCAGAGAAAGCACCGGCUAACUCCGUGCCAGCAGCCGCGGUAAUACGGAGGGUGCAAGCGUUGUUCGGAAUUACNUGGGCGUAAAGGGCGCGUAGGUGGUUGCGUAAGUCGGAUGUGAAAUCCUGAGGCUUAACCUCAGAACUGCAUCUGAUACUGCGUGACUCGAGUGCAGCAGAGGGAAACGGAAUUCCUGGUGUAGAGGUGAAAUUCGUAGAUAUCAGGAGGAACACCGGUGGCGAAGGCGGUUUCCUGGGCUGACACUGACACUGAGGCGCGAAAGCGUGGGUAGCAAACAGGAUUAGAUACCCUGGUAGUCCACGCUGUAAACGGUGAGUGCUGGGUGUGGGAGGUGUAAUGCCUUCUGUGCCGAAGCUAACGCGUUAAGCACUCCGCCUGGGGAGUACGGCCGCAAGGUUGAAACUCAAAGGAAUUGACGG
rnacentral:rRNA from 1 species